AGUUCAGGGCUGCUGUGGACUAUGCAGUGUCCACACUACGUUCAGCAUCAGUAUGGCAAGCCGAGGUAUGCCAGAUUGCCCAAGGAGAAGUGAACUGGUCCUGGUUGGAUACGGAGCAGGUAAAAACUCCCGUGCCAAUCAGUAGUGGGGACUGCGCUUGUGAAUAGCUGCUGUAACAUUACCUGGGCA